UUAGGGCAACGGGUGGAGUCACAGGCAGCGAUUGUUAGGGCGACAGGUGGAGGAACAGGCAGCGAUUGUUAGGGCGACAGGUGGAGGAACAGGCAGCGAUUGUUACGGUGACGGGUGGAGUCACAGGCAGCGGUUGUUAGGGCGACAGGCGGAGUCACAGGCAGCGAUUGUUAGGGUGACAGGUGGAGGAACAGGCAGCGAUUGUUAGGGAGACAGGUGGAGGAACAGGCAGCGAUUGUUAGGGUGACGGGUGGAGUCACAGGCAGCGAUUGUUAGGGUGACGGGCGGAUUCACAGGCAGCGAUUGUUAGGGUGACAGGUGGAGGAACAGGCAGCGAUUGUUAGGGUGACGGGUGGAGGAACAGGCAGCGAUUGUUAGGGUGACGGGUGGAGUCACAGGCAGCGAUUGUUAGGGUGACGGGCAGAUUCACAGGCAGCGAUUGUUAGGG